rnacentral:rRNA from 1 species
GACAGCAGUAGCCACGGGAAUACGAAGGGUGCAAGCGUUACUCGGAAUUACUGGGCGUAAAGCGUGCGUAGGUGGUGGUUUAAGUCCGUUGUGAAAGCCCUGGGCUCAACCUGGGAAUUGCAGUGGAUACUGGGUCACUAGAGUGUGGUAGAGGAUAGUGGAAUUUCCGGUGUAGCAGUGAAAUGCGUAGAGAUCGGAAGGAACAUCUGUGGCGAAGGCGACUAUCUGGGCCAACACUGACACUGAGGCACGAAAGCGUGGGGAGCAAACAGGAUUAGAUACCCCCGUAGUCCCUGUCUCUUAUAC